CCGAGGCCCUGAGGCCCAGGGCGGGGACCAAAAGCCGCGCGCUUGUGACGAUGUCGCUGCGGGGCACGCUAAGGGGCGGAGAGGAAAUUUAGGGCCUGCCUUUUGUACAUUCGGUUAUUCAGCCCAGAAAUAUGUAUUCAACCCCAGGCGCGUGCCUGGCAUUGUGGAAGGCGACACCUACCAGGAUGAGACAACUCUACUCAGACCCAAGCACACCAAGCCAGGAAUGCACAAAGGACGGCUGAUGUUUGAGAUAAGAACUGUCUCAAGGACUUUCUAUAAUAACCACACAAGGAAUUCCUCAUGUACGUCACAAGUCUCAUGCGUUUCUCCACCUACGUUUUGCACAUGUGCACACAUUUAUUGAUUUAGAGGCAGGGAUCUUGCUGUGCUGCCCAGACCGGACUCAAAUUCCUGGGCUCAAUCGGUCCUCCUGCCUCAGCCUCUAGAGUAGCUGGGACUCCAGGCAUGCGCCACCCUGUUAUUUCUGUGACCAGGCUUAGCACUAGGCAUUCUUUCGGACGACAGCAAUUCAAAUAAGAUGCUCUCCAAAGAACACUUGCCUAGUAGCGGCAUCUCCAAAAAUAAAUUGAUGCCGCUCCGGCUUUGAGCCUCCAGAACCAAAGAAACCUGUUUCCAGACAGCUUAUGUGAACUUCUACUUUUGGCCAAUAAGAGCUCCCACUUACCCCUGCCCUAUUCAGGUGCACCUGUGGCUUGCCAUAGCCAUAUAGCCAGGUGCACCAUCCUUUUUGCCUGCUCCUGAAUAAAUUAAUUAUAUUAGGAGA
rnacentral:lncRNA from 1 species